GAGUUUGAUCCUGGCUCAGAAUGAACGCUGGCGGCGUGCUUAACACAUGCAAGUCGAACGAGAAAUCGCCUGCUUGCAGGAGAGAGUAAAGUGGCGAACGGGUGAGUAACGCGUGGGUAAUCAACCUCCGAGUCUGGAAUAACAUUGCGAAAGCGAUGCUAAUACCGGAUAGCAUCCCGCGACUGCGGUCGUCGGGAUUAAAGGUGGCCUCUACAUGUAAGCUACUGUUUGGAACGGAGGGUGCAAGCGUUAUUCGGAAUUACUGGGCGUAAAGGGCGCGUAGGCGGCUCCUUAAGUCAGGCGUGAAAGCCCGGGGCUCAACCCCGGAAGUGCGUUUGAAACUGAGGAGCUUGAGUACGGGAGAGGGAAGUGGAAUUCCUGGUGUAGAGGUGAAAUUCGUAGAUAUCAGGAGGAACACCGGUGGCGAAGGCGACUUCCUGGACCCAUACUGACGCUGAGGCGCGAAAGCGUGGGGAGCAAACAGGAUUAGAUACCCUGGUAGUC
rnacentral:rRNA from 1 species